rnacentral:rRNA from 1 species
GACGAACGCUGGCGGCGUGCUUAACACAUGCAAGUCGAACGGUGAAGCGCCUUCCUUUUUGGUGGGUGGGGAUGAGUGGCGAACGGGUGAGUAACACGUGAGUAACCUGCCCCCUUCGUCUGGAUAACCGCAUGAAAGUGUGGCUAAUACGGGAUAUUCUGGGUCUGUCGCAUGAUGGGUCUGGGAAAGAGAUUGGUUCUGUGGGGGAUGGGCUGGCGGCCGAUCAGCUUGUUGGUGGGGUGAUGGCCUACCAAGGCGAUGACGGGUAGCCGGCCUGGGAGGGUGGACGGUCGCACAGGGACUGCGACAACGGCCAGACUCAUACAGGGCGCAGAAGUCGGGAAUAUUGAACAGUGGGCGCAAGCCUGCUGCAGCGGCGCCGCGUGAGCGAUGGCGGCCUUCGGGUUGUGAACCUCUUUCGCCAGUGAAGCAGGCCUGCCUCGUUUGUGGGUGGAUUGACGGUAGCUGGAUAAGAAGCGCCGGCUAACUACGUG